rnacentral:lncRNA from 1 species
UUGGGUGUGGAGAGUCAUUAUCCCCUCUGUCAGACAGCAGUGGAGAUGGCUUUCCACAGUUGGGGAUAGAAGUUGGCCAAAGGAAUCCUGUGGCUGUGAACUCUGACAGACAACUUUGGAAGUAGAGUUUUGGCAAAUUAAAAUUGUGGGGACCAGGAAUUGUUAGGGGCAAGGUAUCAACUGCAAGGCACCUUAUCUCAUAUUGGAGUAUGUGUUUCCUUCAGGAAGGUAUAUGGGAAAAUUGUUUUUUUUUUUUCUCUGCUGGAACAUGAAUCUAUGGAAGAUUCUUUUCUUUUUUUUUAAUUUUUAUUUGGAAGAUUAUUUUCAUUUAUUUCUGGGGUGUUCAGAAUGAUACUAAUGCCUUUGAUCCAAUAAUAAUGCUACUAGAUCUAUACCUGAAAGAGAUCAAAGAAAGAGGGGAAAGAUCUUUCUGUACAAAAGUGUUUAUAGCAGCUGGUUUAGUGAUGGAAAUGAAUUGGAAACUGAGAGGGUGUCCAUCCAUUGGUGGGUAGAUAAAUAAGUUGUGAUAGAUGAAUGUGGUCUGGUGAUAGAUGAAUGAACCUGGUCUGCCUGGGCCUUGCUGAAGCCAAUAAGGAUGUGAUGAUCUCUGAGCUGGAGUCAGGGGAACCACAUUGGAUUCCAACUGGUGGUGUCCUAAGAAGCUGCUGGCCAGAGAGAAUGGGCUCCUGGGUGAUCCCCUCAGUGACCUUCUGGGCCAGGAACUCCUCUCCCUGCCACAGAUCCCACAUAGAAUUCCUUCCUGCCUCCUCCACUUUGAAUGAUUUUGCCUGAAAAGGUAUGGAUACAAAUGACCAGGUUCUGCUGGUACCUUCAUAGUAUGGGAAAGAAAUUCCACUGUGGGUGGAGCUCUGGGUUGGUUUAAUCUUUUGUGGAAAGCAAAAUGGAAUUCUUCAGUGUCAGAGCUACACAUGAAUUCUUUCAGUGUCAGAGCUACACAUGAAUUCUUUUCCUUAGACCCCCUGAUCAUAUCCUCAUGAUUCCUUCCAGAGGUCUAACUCAGGUGAAGAUUUUGCCAGGUUUGUGUCCUUUUACAGCCCUUCCUUAUUGGCCGGGGGUGUAUGGGGUGCUCAGGGAGGGGUAGCACCUUGGUAUGGAGGGCUUGUCGUGCCCUCCUAGGGCAGCUCUCCAGCCUCUGACCCCCACCUGACACCCAGCUCUCACUUGUGGCUCUUAGAAGCUGCUAAUAUGCAGCAGCGGCCACACCCCGGGCAACAGCUUCAACAGGUCGGCUAAACCUUGUGAGGGUAGCCAUUGGGUCGUCGUGGACCCCUGGUGAACCAGGGCUUUGCUCACCCAGCAUGUGAAGACUGUCUCGGUGGAACAGGCAGAAGAAAUCAACAAGAAGUUUCAACGGCUGAGAUGGCGACGCAGCAAAGCACUAUGGAGUGCUUAGGGCAUGUUGGAGCACAAAAGAUAACACGGCCAUCCAAUGCAGCUGAGGAAGUCUCCAGGUGUAAUGAUUUUUCAUGCCACUGGACCCAGGCUUCCAAUGCCGAGAGAGUGGGACUGUCUCUGUGCACCGACUUUUCCACUUAAAUCUCUUUCACGCACAAGUAUCUUUGUGUACACAUGCACAAAGACAAUCGUCAUACUCGGCUUCCGAGAGACUACUACUAGAUGAAUGUGAUGGAAUGGGUCAGAAUGAAGAAAAAUCUGGAAAUACAUGUAUGAACUGAUGCAGAGUGAAGUGAGCAGAACCAGGAGAACAAUCUAUGUAAUAAUAACUAUUUAAGACAAACAACUUAAAAAGACUUAGGAACUCUGAUCUACA